rnacentral:tRNA from 1 species
AUGCAUGUGCCGGAAGUUGUUAUCGGACAUGACUAGAAAUCAUGUGGGAUUUUCCCAUGCAGGUUUGAAUCCUGUCAUCCACG